CUUACCUGCAAGUCGAACGGCAGCACGGACUUCGGUCUGGUGGCGAGUGGCGAACGGGUGAGUAAUAUAUCGGAACGUACCCAGUAGUGGGGGAUAACUAUCCGAAAGGAUAGCUAAUACCGCAUACGAUCUAAGGAUGAAAGCAGGGGAUCUUCGGACCUUGUGCUAUUGGAGCGGCCGAUAUCUGAUUAGCUAGUUGGUGAGGUAAAAGCUCACCAAGGCGACGAUCAGUAGCUGGUCUGAGAGGACGACCAGCCACACUGGAACUGAGACACGGUCCAGACUCCUACGGGAGGCAGCAGUGGGGAAUUUUGGACAAUGGGCGCAAGCCUGAUCCAGCAAUGCCGCGUGAGUGAAGAAGGCCUUCGGGUUGUAAAGCUCUUUUGUCAGGGAAGAAAAGGUGCGCUCUAACAUAGCGUACUGAUGACGGUACCUGAAGAAUAAGCACCGGCUAACUACGUGCCAGCAGCCGCGGUAAUACGUAGGGUGCAAGCGUUAAUCGGAAUUACUGGGCGUAAAGCGUGCGCAGGCGGUUUUAUAAGUCUGAUGUGAAAUCCCCGGGCUCAACCUGGGAACUGCAUUGGAGACUGUAAGGCUAGAGUGUGUCAGAGGGGGGUAGAAUUCCACGUGUAGCAGUGAAAUGCGUAGAUAUGUGGAGGAAUACCGAUGGGCGAAGGCAGCCCCCUGGGAUAACACUGACGCUCAUGCACGAAAGCGUGGGGAGCAAACAGGAUUAGAUACCCUGGUAGUCCACGCCCUAAACGAUGUCUACUAGUUGUCGGGACUUAAUUGUCUUGGUAACGCAGCUAACGCGUGAAGUAGACCGCCUGGGGAGUACGGUCGCAAGAUUAAAACUCAAAGGAAUUGACGGGGACCCGCACAAGCGGUGGAUGAUGUGGAUUAAUUCGAUGCAACGCGAAAAACCUUACCUACCCUUGACAUGGCAGGAAUUCCGAAGAGAUUUGGAAGUGCUCGCAAGAGAACCUGCACACAGGUGCUGCAUGGCUGUCGUCAGCUCGUGUCGUGAGAUGUUGGGUUAAGUCCCGCAACGAGCGCAACCCUUGUCAUUAGUUGCUACGAAAGGGCACUCUAAUGAGACUGCCGGUGACAAACCGGAGGAAGGUGGGGAUGACGUCAAGUCCUCAUGGCCCUUAUGGGUAGGGCUUCACACGUCAUACAAUGGUACAUACAGAGGGCCGCCAACCCGCGAGGGGGAGCUAAUCCCAGAAAGUGUAUCGUAGUCCGGAUUGUAGUCUGCAACUCGACUACAUGAAGUUGGAAUCGCUAGUAAUCGCGGAUCAGCAUGUCGCGGUGAAUACGUUCCCGGGUCUUGUACACACCGCCCGUCACACCAUGGGAGCGGGUUCUGCCAGAAGUAGGUAGCUUAACCGUAAGGAGGGCGCUACCAC
rnacentral:rRNA from 1 species